GUAAAAGUUAUUUUUUUGCGUAAAUUAUUGUUUCUUGUCAUUACAAUCAUAAUGUUUUGUUUUUAUUCAGUCGCCAGUUCUCUUGGAGUGGAGACCUUCAACUUCUGUUAAUCAGACUAUUACAACACUUAAAAAAGAACGUUACUAACUACGUAACAGAACAGUAGACACCUCAGACCUAGAUAUGUCUAUACCUUUUGAGGAGCCACAGCCUUCAUUCCAAGUUAAAGAUGAGGGUAUUUUAGAGGAAGAAUUCCCAGAGAAGGUCGCUCAACAAGCACAGGAUGCCCUGCUGGAGCUAAUUAAACAGCUACAGGAACAAAAUGGAAGUUUAGAAUGUAGACUGGGCGAAUAUGACACUUACCAUGUGAAGAAUUUACAUGAAUUACCUUCAUGAAGUCACAAAUACAGGGAACAGAAGAGGUAAAAUUGUUCAGUUCCUAUCUCCCAUUGUUUAAAUUUCAGUAUCAUUAAAAAAAUUAAUCGUUGUCUUCCUUUGUUUAUAUUUUAGUCUAAAUUUUUAGCAGAAUUAUCUCGCUAUGGACACUUGGGCAUAAACAAUUUCAUGUGAGUGUAACUUGCUACAUAUCACGAGGGAUUUCAACUAAACAUUCAUAGAAUAAGUUUAGUCAAGUGCCUUGGCAGAUAUUAUUGGAAUUUCUCAUUUGAACCAUUUUUGGCAGUAUUAUGGUCUUUUAUGGAUUUUUUACCCUAAGUCUGCUGACAGCCUGGAACCAUUCAUUGUCUGAACUGUCUGCUAUUUAAUCAGUACUUGUAUCAAAAUUUUCCAUU